GGGCAAGAAAAGGACUUCUUAUCCGAGGAGGGGAUUGUGCUAGAACGCAUUGGCCUGGUGUAAACUAUAUUGCUCUAGAUAAGACAGGAACCCUUACCAGAGGAAAACCAGUUGUUUCUGCCAUAGGCUCUAUUGAGUAUGGAGAGUCGGAAAUUCUUCAGAUUGCGGCCGCAGUGGAGAAAACUGCAUCUCAUCCAUAG